GCUACUACCGAUUGAAUGGUUUAGCGAGAUGCUUGGAUCGGGCCCAGCUCGUGCGAAAGCAUGUGCCGGGACUGAGAAGAAGUUCAAGCUUGAUCAUUUAGAGGAAGUAAAAGUCGUAACAAGGUUUUCGUAGGUGAACCUGCAGAAGGAUCAAGACCGGAAGAGCGCCGGUUGGGGAAAGAGUGUAGACUUAGGUGGCCGCAGAACCAUUAAAAAAAAAAUCUGUAACUACACCCUGAACUCACACAACCACGCUACACUCAAUACCAUCAUUCUU
rnacentral:misc_RNA from 1 species